GACGAACGCUGGCGGCGUGCCUAACACAUGCAAGUCGAGCGGGGUUGAAGCGAGAGGUAACUCGAGUUUCUACCUAGCGGCGGACGGGUGAGUAACGCGUGGGCAACCUGCCUCAAGGUCUGGGAUAACAGCCCGAAAGGGCUGCUAAUACCGGGUAUGCUUGUGGCCUCGCAUGGGGCUACGAGCAAAGGGGAAACCCGCCUUGAGAUGGGCCCGCGUCCCAUCAGCUAGUUGGUGAGGUAACAGCUCACCAAGGCGACGACGGGUAGCCGGCCUGAGAGGGUGACCGGCCACACUGGGACUGAGACACGGCCCAGACUCCUACGGGGGGCAGCAGUGGGGGAUCUUGCACAAUGGGCGAAAGCCUGAUGCAGCGACGCCGCGUGAGCGAAGAAGGCCUGGUUGUAAGACUCUGUCUGGAGGGACGGAAGGAAGGUGGACGGUACCGUCCGGACGGAAGGACCGACGGCGUAACCUAACGUGCCGAGCAGCCGCGGUAACGUGUAGUCGU
rnacentral:rRNA from 1 species